rnacentral:lncRNA from 1 species
UGGACGUGGAAAGGUACAGCAGCUGGAAUUGCAAAUCUAUUUCCUUAGAAGAGCAUCGGUGGCAAGUUAAGCCUGUGGAUCUAGCUGGUGAUUGAAUGCAGACCAUAACAGAGGAACUUCAAUCCAAAGAUGUUCUCCAUGUUUGUAAAGAAGUUACACCUGUAAGAGGAUUUGUGCUACAGGUUGCAGGAAACUGGAAGGGGUAAGAAGCAAGCAUGAAGUCUACAACUACAAGACUAAUUUGUUCUAUAAGAGCUUUGGAUGUGUGUGGUUUUAGUGAAGCAAUUACUCAUUUAUAACAAUGUACUCUGCAUACAGUGAGGUGUGAUUCUAUUCCUAGAGCUCACCCAGCACCACAGUCUGGUAAACUAAUAAAGACUCUGUUAGUAUUG